AUGCCAGAGGCUUCUGGGUCGAGUUUGAGGUGGGUGGGUUGUGUUGGAGGGGAAGAAAAGCCCCCUGAGUGUCUCGGCGGGUGUUUGGUUCACACCAGAGCCAAGCACCGGGCUGGGAGAUCCCUCUUUGACUUGAGGCAGCUCUGUCCAGCCCCACUCCCAUCCCAUCCCAUCCCUUCCCUCCGAGGUGGAAAGGACAACACAAGGACCGUGGCCGAGACCUCUCCUGGCCGUGAUGGGAGGAGAUCUGGCCCUUGGGUGGGCAGCUUGGCUUUCAGCUCCAGAGGUGUCCAGAGAAGUCCGAGGGGUUGGGCUAAGGAAGGGGAAGGGGCAGGUGUGGGUUUGCCAGGUGGCUUUGCGGGUUGUGCCUCUUUGGAAGGUCGAAGGGAAGUGUGAAGGGAGCGCUGGGGAGGCUGCCCUUGCCAGCCCUUGGUGGGGGCCAGGAGGAGGGAGGCAGGUUUGGAGCCAAGGGAAGCACUUGAGGUCGGAUUUGCCGUCAGCCAAGCUGCCAAAUUCCCCCCCUUCCCAGGAGCAUCCCAGUGGAUAGUUUCCACACUCACCACGGGGUGCUCAGCUUGAUUUAACCCGAAAGAAACCCCCCAAUCUUCCAGGAGAUGCCAUUCCCAUCCAGACCUUGCCUUCGGGGUGGUAACACAGCCAACCCAAAAGGAAGGUCUCAGGAGCCUCUGCGUGCACCAAAUCCCUCAGGCAGAGGCUCAGGUGGUUUUUCCAGGCUGGAAAUUCGGAGUGGGACACCACCAGCUGAGAUUUCAGGCGUUUCCUUGUCCCCGACGGAGAGAAAACUUUCCCGGUGAUAAAAGGAUGGCAGCCAAAAUCCCAAAGGGAUUAAACACAAACCUAAGCCCAGUGGGAAGGGGGGGAAUCUCCCAGGGACAAACAUUUCGGGAGAGGCGAUGGCAGUGGAGGUGUCCUUGGUCUUUGGGGACCAAGGAUGAGCUCUGGCAGGACCUGGGGACGAGGGAAGGAGGUGGAUGGUCCAGAGGGGGAAACCCCAUCACCGGGUGCUCUCCAGGAUCCCCCUUUUCCAUCUGAGACCCACGUUUGGGAUAGAGGAGGCUGGAAAAAGGGGAAACCUGGAGAAAGGGAACAACAAGCUUAGAAGGUCUGGUUAAAGCUCCAGAGAACAAAACCUCUGGGGUAGAUUUUUCCAGAAGGGCUCGGUCCUGCUUGUUCUGAACCAGUGAAAAAGGUUUGGCUGAAAUUUUUCUUUUAACUUCCAAGGUCAUUACAAAGUGAAAACCAAACAUUGCUUUUGAGUGAGUGGUUGAUUGGAGAGAGGUAAUGUAAGAUGCAGACAUCCAUUAUAUAUAUAUUUACAUCAUGUGUGUAUAUAUAAUGUUUGUGUGGGUGAGUAUUUAAUCCGGGCAGAAGUUAAGUCAGGCUUUGUUUUUUUUCCAUUCCUAACUAAUAUAACUUGACUCAAAAAAAAAAAAAAAAAAAAGAGAAAAAAAAAGAAAAAAAAAAAGUUGCUGCAGUGGGUUUGCAGAAUAAAGCACUUUGAAUCUCAGAAUUGUUUGUUUUU
rnacentral:lncRNA from 1 species